UAUAGAACUGAGCAACAGGUAA
rnacentral:miRNA from 2 species